ACUCCUACGGGAGGCAGCAGUGGGGAAUAUUGCACAAUGGAGGAAACUCUGAUGCAGCGACGCCGCGUGGAGGAAGAAGGUUUUCGGAUCGUAAACUCCUGUUGUCGGGGACGAUAAUGACGGUACCCGACAAGAAAGUGACGGCUAACUACGUGCCAGCAGCCGCGGUAAU
rnacentral:rRNA from 1 species